rnacentral:lncRNA from 1 species
GCUCGCCUCUUCAGCUCAUAUAAGGCUGGCUCCCAUCUCCAGGCCCCAAGGAGCCACACCUGGACCAGACCCCAGGAAAGGCAAGGGCACUAGCUAGUGGGAGCCACCCCUGCUACGCUGAUGCUGGAGAAGCAAGAACUCUGGAGAAGCAGCCUCCUGGGACCAGAGGGGGGCCAGCAGCAGGCAGCUCGGCUACAGAACUCUCACCCACGCCUCUCCAAGCCUCCCGACAGAAGACAGAGGUCCCCCACAGCCCAGAGACAUUUCCUGAAGACAUGGGGACCACAGAGGCAGAAACAGCCCAUCCACCCAGGAGCUGCCCCCCACGCUGCCGGGAGCCAGCACCCAGAGCCGCCAGAUAAAACUGAGGCCACCUGGUUCAACAUUGCCUUUCACAGAAGGGGAAACAGCCACAGAAAGAAGGGCCUGGUAAGAAGUGGAACCUGGGACCCCCAAGCGGUGUCUCUCAUCCUGACUGGGGAUCCAGAGUAGGAGGGAGCCUUUGGUGGGGUAAGUGGAAUGGGGGAGGGG